rnacentral:rRNA from 1 species
GGGUUAGCCGGUACCUAAGGUGAGGCCGAAAGGCGUAACCGAUGGCAACCUGGUUUAUAUUCCAGGGCUUAGUUUAAGUGGUUUGAGCGAUGGGGUGACGCAAGAAGAUAGGGAAUCAGCCUAAUGGAUGGCUGUAUAAGGUCGUAGGCGUUGAGAUGGUCAGGUAAAUCCGGCCGUUGAGCUGAAAGCUGAUAUCGAGUGGGCCUUCGGGUUUCACGAAGUUUCUGAUUCUAUGCUGCCAAGAAAAACCUCUAAGUUACACUUAGACUAAACCGUACCCUAAACCGACACAGGUGGGCGAGGAGAGAAUCCUCAGGUGCGCGAGAGAAACCUCGUUAAGGAACUCGGCAAAAUGACCCCGUAACUUCGGGAGAAGGGGUGCCUCAUUAUCGUGCAAGCGAGAAGAGGCUGCAAUAAAGAGUCCGCGGCGACUGUUUACCAAAAACACAGGUCUCUGCAAACACGUAAGUGGAUGUAUAGGGGCUGAUACCUGCCCGGUGCUGGAAGGUUAACAGGAGAUGUUAGACGUAAGUCGAAGCAUUGAAUCGAAGCCCCAGUAAACGGCGGCCGUAACUAUGACGGUCCUAAGGUAGCGAAAUUCCUUGUCGGGUAAAUUCCGACCUGCACGAAUGGU